UUAAAUAAAUAUAAUUUUUAUUUAUAAAUUCAGUAAAUAGAAAACAAAGUAAUUUCGUCGCUAAUUCCCGAUGUAUUAACGAGGAAAAUUAACGACGAAAUAUCGAGGAACAAUUAUCGAGGAUUUUACGUGGAUUUAGUUACGAUUCUAUUACGACGAAUUGUUUUCGUGUUUCUUACGUUUUUAUUACGACGAAUUUAUUUAGAGGUUUUUGCGUGUCUUUUAUGACGAAUCAUUUACGAGUUUCUUACGAGGAAGCACAACGACCGCGUUACGUGGAAACCCCACGUGGUCUUUACGACGAAAACUUAAUUCUUCUUUACGAGGAAAAUAUAACCUCGCUAAUUAACGAGGAAAUGGCGACGAAUCUUCUCUUACGACAAUCAUAUAACGACGAAACGCCUUUCAUCGCCAUUUCCUCGUAAGCCUUCUUUUCCGAGGAAAUAACGACGAUUUUGGCCGUCGUUAAAUUUGUGUUUUCUUGUAGUGUUUGGUUUCUCUGUCUCCCUCUCGCUGGUGCUCCCGGACGAAGAAAAUCGCAUGCUGAAUCGAAAGGUAAAGCUUUAUUGUUUUGUUUUUGUGUUUGAAUCCUUUGAUUAUGUGUUUGAAUCAUUCAAUUAUGUGUUUGAAUCUUUCACUGAGAUUCUUAUAAACUAUGAGAGAUGAUGAUUUCAAAAUUUUUCUUUUAUGAUUAUUGCUGGAUGUGAGUCGACCAUCCGUGACAGAAGCUGAAAGGUUGAAGCUUAUCUCCAAAGGAUGUGGUCCUAAAACCGUAGGCAUGUGAUCUUUUUGGUUCAGUUAAUUUGUAGAAGAAAAAUGAUCUGAUUGGUUUUUAACCACGGUAUGGACCAGAUUGUGAUCCUCUGUUUGAAGCCACGGUGAGAAGGGAAGGAGAAUCAGGGAGUUGACAUCUCUCGUGGAGAAGAGAUUCAUGUUUCCUCAAGACAGUGUUGAGCUUUACGUUGAGAAUGCCAACAGAGGUCUCUAUGCCAUUGCUCAGGCUGAGUCUCUCCGUUACAAGCUCCUCGGUGGACUUGCUGUUUACAGGUAUGUACAUUUCAUAAAAAUAGAUGCAGUGUAUCUGUAAAACCAUAUUAGAAACCUGAUAGCUUCACAUAGUGAUAUCAUCACACAUUAUAAUGUGGAACCAAUUACUUGUUGUGUGUGUAAUAUGGUACGAACUGAUGAAUACAAACAUUAUAAUCUGUUUCCUCUGUAGUUCUUCUGUUCUCUUCUUUUGGUCUCAGUUGCAAGCUUUUUUUAGGGUCGUGUCCGAGUGUUAAGAUAGCUUUCCUUGUUGUAAUGAUCUGAGUUGCUAGCUUUUUGCUUCUCUUUUGGUCUAAGAUUGUAAUAUAAUCUGAAGUGCAAGCUUUUCUUUCUUGUUUUGGUCUGAAGUUGUUAACUUGUAAUGAUCUGAUCUCUGUUGGGAUUUGAGCUGUCAGUAUCUUUUGAUCUCUGUUGUUGCUGGUGAGGUUUCAAUUUAUAACUUGUAAUAAUUUUUUUUGUAAAAACCUCUAAGAACUUACGAAUAAAACACUAAAAUUAAAGGUCU